UUUUUUAUGUACUUUACAAUAUACAUAAUAUAAACGCAUGUUGCUGCUUGAAAAUGUGUUCCGCAUUGAAACCAUGUCUUGCUCUUAACAUUUUCGGUCCUUAUACAUUACUGGCUUUCAUAUAAUCGUCUUCGAGAAUUCCUAAUAACGGUGAAUUCAGAAAAGCGCGGCAGAUGCUUAUAAAAUUAUAAGAUUUGUGACAUAAUCUUCAAUUCGUUGAAGGCGGUCACUAUAUUGUAGACAUAGAAGUUGUUAUUAUUUUUACAGCACUGAGUUGUAACAUCUGCUGAUGGACUAUCGGUCCAACAGGAU
rnacentral:lncRNA from 1 species